GAGGUAUAUUUAGUCUCCAAUAUCGAGCAAGAGACCGUGGUCUCUUCUUGGUCACAUGACAUCGAAGGGACGCAACCGAUGUAAAGUUAAAGCUACUCUUCAAAUAGGAGGAGUUCACAUUGAAAAUGUAAAUGUGGAAAAUGCAAAAUAAAUAAUUAAGAACCAGUUUUUAAUAUUUGACGUUACAUGAUAUGAAAUAACAUCUUCUUUCAGGGUUUUGUGUUCUACAGACCCUGCCAAGAUUGUGGUGCUGCAGCAGUAUUUGAAGGACAAUCAAAAUGUCUGCUCAAUCUUGGCACAUAUCUUGUUGGUUAUGAUGUUUUGAGGUCCUACAUGCAUAGCUUUCUUCAUGGGAGCUACUCUGAGCGAACUUUUUUUGAAGAUGCUACCACAAGACAUCUCCUGAAGCGUUUCACAGCAGAUUCAGCUCGUGGGGUUAAGUUAACACCUCUAAGUGAAUCCAAUAAACAUAAGCUUCUGUCAUCAGUGGAGAAAGUUUCUAAGUUUCUUUAUAAAUGUGAUUACAAUUUGUAAUGGACAAUUUUCCUGUUUUCUUGUAUUUGAAUGUGAACUUCAUUACAACAAUGUUUAUACACAUUAACUUACAAGAAAAGAGAUCAAUAUCCCUAUUCAGGUAAGCGAUUUCAGGGCCAUCAUGGUCCUCAUGUUGAUGUCAAGUGAUUAAAAUUAACAUGAUUUUGGCUUUGUGUAGCAUUUAUAGUUAAAUAUUUAUUUCCGUUUUUGU